ACGACAGCGCGCAGGACAUGCUGGCCUUCAUGAGCGAGCUGCACGGCGCCUGGCUGGCGCUGCCCUUCCAGGAUCCGCUGAGGCAGUUCGGCGUCGCUGCUGCAGUGUUGCCCUGACGUGGGGGCUGGUGCCUGGGAAUGAGAACAGUCCUGCUGCUGACCCUGUGGGUGGAGCACUGGUGAAACCUCGCUGGAUCCAGGUCUGAAAGGAGGACUUCAGUCUGGGUGCUGCUACGUGUGGCACUGAAUUCCAAGUCCCAGAUGAGAGCCCUCUGCUCCUGAGGCCCAGGCCAGGCUUCAAACUAGCACCAGGAGGGAGAUGGCAUUGACACAGCAUUCCAUUUGUCUGCGUCGUUUGAAAGUAGUUAGUUAGGUCUGUUCCACAACCAGGUGGGCACAUCUGGAGUUCCACCUGCUUCUCCCCGCAACACCUUCAGAAUCUUCUGUCCACCCCACCAGGGCCCACACAGCCAGCCCUGUUCCUCACCUUCUCUCACUCAGUUCCUCAUCCUAUAUUGUGCUUCAGAGCCUCUGGUCAGUUAGCAUAGCGUCCUUGUGGAAAGAACUGAUAAACGAAACCCCCAAAGCACAGAUGAUAGAAUGUCUAUGCCUCUGGCUUACAUAAAAAAUGAGUAUUUCUGUGAUAGAACCAAUGGGCAAGUGACAAAGAGAGAAGACAUUUGCAAUGGCAGAAACCAGCCAGGGGCUGCCCCCAAGGUGUCCACUGACCUCCCACAGGGCAACAGGAAAGGGUGGCAGGGCGAGGUGGGGCAUGUGCAGAGGCACCAAGGCGCUGGGACGCUCACCCUCAAGGUCACGGGGACAUGGACCACAGCCUGCGCUUGCAGAGGACACUUUGCUUAUAAAUAAUCUUAAUGCCCACAGAUGCAGGGCUGCCCCCAGGGCCUCAGCUGGCCAGCUCGGGGCACCUUCACCGCCCUGUCCUAGCUGCUCUGAGGCUCCACCUCUUGCUCCAUGGUAUCUGUUGCUGAUUUCUUCAUAUUCACACUGAGAGCCUCUCAUGGCUUCCCACUGUUCAGGUCAAAAACCUAGGACACAUCCCCAAUUCCUGCCUUUCCCGGGCGCCCCAUACCUGGCCCAUCAGGGGCUCCUGUCCCCAAAUGCACACCCUCCCUUCUCCUCCACAGCCCCUGCCCCAGAACCCCUGGCUGCUCACUUGGACAAUUUCCUAUGUCCCCUGGCCACCCCCAACCCCACUCCUGACCUCCUGGAAUGUGUGGCCCACACAGCUACUAGAAUGGUCCUGAGGAUACUGGAAUCUACAUUAUUUCCCUGCUUCUCAUCGCCUCAGACCAAAGCCUGAGGCCAGGGCUAUUCUCUGUUUCUCUGCACCCCUGCUCCUCCCAUCAUGCCACCCUCUCCUUUCCUGCCCCCUGGCCCAUUCCCCACCCCCUCUGCAGUACCCCUGCUCUCCAAUCACCCAUGCCUCUGCCCACAGGGCUACCCAGAGGCUUCUUGCCUGCCCAUCCCAUCCCAAUGGCACCCAGCUGCUGCCUCUGCUUCAUGCCCACCAAGCCCUUCUCUGACGUUAGCCACCUAUCACCUGUCUAUGAUUUAUCAUCUAUCACCAAUCAUCUAUACCAUCGUCUAUCUAUCAUGAAUAUAUCGUCUUUUUCCCCAGUGAGAAUAUAACCACCCUGAGAACAGACAUUCCUAUGUCUGGCCCAUAGGACGGUGUGCAGCACACACUCCACAGCUAUUGGCUUAUUGAAUUAUUUUUAAUGUCUGCUGAGCAUUUUGUGUGCGUGUACACUGUAAGCUAUUCUGUCCGGUCCUACGCCAAAGGACUUCAUGCCAGUCUUUGGCUAUUACUGCAAAGAGCAAUUGUGUACAUGUGCCCAACAGCACUUCUGCUGGGAUAUAAUGAAUUUGUACAUGAAUUGGUAGAGUAAAAAAGGGACCCAUCUUUAUGUUUCCAAGUGACUUGCCAAUGUGCCACCACAAUUUAAGGAAUGACCCUCCUUUCUCCCAGUGUGCACACAAGGGCAUUGGCUGUGAGUUAAGUAACAAGCUUUCCUUGUCUGUGUGAAGGUCCAGGCCACACGUACCUGCUCUCUCCACUGUGUGCUCUGCUCCCUGGGGCAGGGCUGGGACCAGCACAAGGCCAGCUAGGUGCCUGCACCCUGAGUUCAAGCCCUUGCCCCUGGCCCUGAGUGCCGGCACCUCCCUGAAUGUGGCCUCCCCUGGUGUCCUUUCCUGUGUGGCCGCAGUAGCUCACUGCCAUGUGUGUGGCCAGGCCCCAGGCCGGAGAUCCAGAGAAUGUCUUAUGUUUAACUGUAGUUAAUUUACACUUGAAUUUAAGUGGCCGUGUGCAGGUAGUGGCUACCACGUGGGACUGCAGCCGAGAACGCACACUCAAGACGUGCCUCAGUCUCCCUACCCAGGUGUGGGCACCUGGCUCACCAGCCACAUUAACAUCUGGGUGCUGAUCUUCCUUUGUUUUCUUGUAUUUUUCAAAUUUUUCUUGGGUUUUCACACAUGUUCGGUGUUUUCACAACAGGCUGAGCAUCAGUUCAAAAGAGAAUCUGGUGAAUCCACAUUUAAUUCACGCCCCAUGGGAACCGGCUGGUGCCAGGACGGAGCUCCACCCACAAUGAGGCCAGCUUCGUUUCCUCUGGGUGGCUCUGUCCCUCUCUGGUCUGGCUCCUGGGUGAUCCUGCGUGCGGCGUGUUUCUGUGCUCGUAUGUAUGUGUGGUGCUGUUGCCUUUGUAAAGAAAACUUUCCAUUUCUUUCCUCCUCCAACUGGUUUUUAUUUAUAUACAGAAGAGGGUACUUGGCAUGUGAAUUUGCCACCAGCCCCAUUGUCACUUCAUUACACCCUCUCACUGUGUUUGGAUGUCCCCAACAAGUGGUGAAAAAAAUACCUACUUACUGUUAACUGUUUUAAAAAUUUAG